rnacentral:lncRNA from 1 species
UUGGGUCUUUUAUGACUUUGCUCUUUGUCGAUGUUUUUUCAUUCUCUUUUAUAUGUGUGCAUUAGUGUUGGUUGUGUGCGUUCUAAUUAUGCAGAGGCCAGGUGUGCAUUCAUUGUUUUGUAUCUCCUUGAUUUUUUAUUUUGAAUCAAUAAAAUCUAUAAGGGCAACCUGGUGCAUGUAGCUCCCGCUUGCGCAGGGUCCAGGGAAGGGUCCGACCACUUUGGGUCUAUAGUACGCAGCUUUUCCCUACAUUUCUGUAAGAGGCUGUUUCCAGGACUUGAACCCAUGACCUCAUGAAUCAAUAAAAUCUAUCAUUUAAAAAAAUGCAUUGUAUAGCAAACGACCAUGAUUUGGCACCAUUCGUCAAUAAACGACAGACUUUGUGAUGCGUUUCAGCAAAUGCCAACCAAAGAGUGCUCCAACAAAAUACAAUGUCCAGGACCCAUUGGUAUUGUGCUUCUCAACUUAGAAAAUAUCAGAACUUCACAUAACACGUAUACUUGAGAACCCAUACUCUUUCAUCACUUGUUUCACAUAAUUAAGUAAAUGAAUUGAAUUAAUCACCACUAUAUGAUGCUGUACAAGGAGGCUCAAUCAACGGAAAUCAAUUUACUUUAUCAGUUUGACAAACAUAUCUGAUAUAAUUUUUUUGAAAUCAAAACAUACAAUGAACCGACCGAACUCACAGUUGAACAUAAAUGGACCAUCUUAACCAGCGAACAUCGGCCGGGAAGCAUGACAAUUUAUGUUGUCACAGGAUGACAAGUUUAGUUAGCAAGCAUGACAAGCAUGUCCCAGUUCAUUUUUCUGCCAGGAUUUGUCAUGUUUGCAAACUAAAAUUAUCGUCGUCGCGACAAUAUGAAUUGUCUAAAAAACAUUCGAUUUGCCACCCCUCCAAACGAACAACAAACAGAAAUACCCCAAACCAAAAUAAACGUUUUGGAAGCGAAAGAACAAAUCAAAUCAUGCAAACACC